rnacentral:ncRNA from 1 species
UUCGCCAAGGGCAAACCGUCGGUAACGGCGGGACGCAAAGCCUCCGGCCCCAUGGGGUAGCGGGGUUGCCGGAG